rnacentral:tRNA from 1 species
UCAUAGGGUGUCUGAAGUAAGUCGUGGUCUCUUAAACCACUUAUGGUAACGUAACAUUUACCCCCUAUG